ACAUUUGGAGACUUUCUUCCCGCGACCGGAUCCCUCGUCAUCUGUAGAAACACAGACGUCACUUUAACCCCGACUCCACCUUCUAUAAUAACUAUAAUAACCUUUAAUAUAUUGAGUUAUAAAGGGGAAAGCAGGAGCAGUUCUUACCUCCAUCUCCAGAUCCUGACGCUCCGUCUGACAGAGAAAACACCACGAUUGAUUUAGAUUUGAAUACAGGUGUAGAAAAGGCUCCACAGUUGUGUUGGUGUUCAGUGCUUUCAGUUGUUGGUUGUAGAUGACGCGGUGAGGAGGGGCUAGCUCACGUGUUUUGUGUGACGUGGCACUAGGUCAGCCGGUGGCCAUUACAAGUAGUUGCGGGAAGGUUUCGGCGUGCCGUGUGGUGUUAGUGUGUGAAUGACGGAAGACCACACACACACACAGACCAUAAAGAGAAGGAAUAAAGAAGGUCAAGCAUCACCCCAGCUCCUCAUUUCUGGACACUGGACCUUUGGCCUUAAGGUGUGUUCUGGCCGACACACCGGGGUGAACCUAGUGAUAAACUAAAGAACUAGUGCCAACACUGAGCUACCUUUAACUCUCCACUACAACAGGUGAAGCACAUUAAGAUCUACUGAAGACAUUUAGCCUGAAGUGGUUAAGAUGCUCGGUCUGCUCCUCCAAAAACGCUCCUUUUAAAAGCCUUGAAUCAUCCUAUAUAUAGUGCAUCAUGUUGGUUAAACUAGUUAAAGAUAAGAGACUCUAAUUGGGACAUGUGUUCGUUGCAGCAGCAGUUAAAUAAAGUGUUGCACAUCAUUAGAAUCAAAGAGAGCAGAACACAGGGCUAAACUACAGCUCACACAGAGUAGAAGUACAUAUUAAGGAUAUAUAAGUACCGUGGUAGCAGUUCCCCUCGGACAGGAUGCUGAUGUUCCUCUGCUUCUUGCAGGACGCUCUCCGGAGGAAGCACUCGUUCUGAUACGUGUCUCCGUUAGAGCCGCACACAGGGAUGUACUUCUUAUUACACUGAGACACACAGGAAGUCCCAUUCAUUCAUAUAUCAGGUUUAAACAGCUGUGAUUGGUCAACCGCUCAGAGAUGUCCCGCCCCCUAGCCUCUCAGGUACAAUGUGUCGGAGCGCUAGAGUUCCGUAGUGAUGUCACUGGUUUACAGUAUGUGCUGUACUUUGUGUGUGUGUGUGACUUACGUGGAACUGGCACACACACUUGAUGUCGGCUCCGUUCUCGCGGCAGCUUCCUCCGAAGCGACACGUCCCGGCAUCACAUACUCUGAGGUCGCUCUUCUUUUCGGACAGAUCUGAUGAACACACACACACACACACACACACACAAAGUCAAUAAACCCACACACAGACACAGUGUGGGAAACACACACACACACACACACUAAUAUCCAGGGUAGUAAUUUGCUGAUCUGCUGGCAGCUGAUUGGUCGUGGUUUCCUCAGGCUAGCCAAUUAGAGCGGGUAAUGACAGGGGUCGUGACCCCUGUUUCCCCUGUCAUUAGCGAAUACCUCAGUGUGCUGAGGCAGCGGGAACACGCACGCGCACGCACACACACACACACACAUACACCCUGCUGCAGGGGUGGACACAAUAACAGAAACACUGUGUUCCCAGGACCUUAUAGUCACCAUAGUGUUCUGAUUUGGUGAAAGUCACACUUCCUGUCACAGUCCUAAAGGGUGUUGAUUCCUCAAAGGAAAUACAACACAUUACUAACCACUAAUACCACAGAUUUAAACACCUGAACCCGACAGAAAGCCUCUCUCUGUGUUGCUAUGGGUGCUACCCUCCCAGAGGACGGUGUGUUGCGUCAGCAGUGAGGGUCUGCAGGGACAGGUCUCUCUGAGGGGGGGUGUAGUGGGAAACCUCCGUCUACACCAGGGCUAUUCAAAUGGCGGCCCGCGGGCCACAUGCGGCCCAGAGGCAACACCCGAGUGGCCCAGCCCGUGGUCCCACCAGAAAGGCAGAGUGAGAGCCGCAUAUUCAAAAUAAAUAAAACACAUUUCGGGAGCCUUUAAAAAUCCCUACAGUCGCAGUAAUUUGGUCAUAAUGUUAUGGCUGAUCGGUGUAUGUGGGAUGUGUAACAAAGCCAUGCCCCAUCACACGUGCUCCCUCAGUGUGCAGUAGUAGACGUGUUCAUGUGUUAUUUACUGUUAGUUACUGUUAUCACUUGUGUGGGUUAUGCACUGACAGCUUUGAGAAUCGAUGGUUCCUUUUAAUUCUGUUACAUGCACUUUGUGAUGUGCCUGGGUCAUAUAUGACCACAGUAUUUAGUUUUGUUUCAAAAUGGAUACUGGUGUUAUUUGUAAUACGUUGCACUAUUUAAUGUGAGGUACCUUGACCUGUUCCUGGGUAAGAUGUGAGCACAUGUUGUAUUUUAUUCCUAAAGGGAAACAAACGUUACUGCCAAUGUGCACUACUUUGUUUGUCUUUGAGAUGUUCCUCGGUCAGGUGUGACCAAAAGUGGAAAAAAGUGUUGCUACUGCCAAAGAUUUUGCUUAGUUAUAGCUUUUUUAUUUUUGUAUGUACUUUUGAUGUUCCUGUGUUAGAUGUGAGCACAUUUAAGAAGGAAACAAUGAAUAAAUAUGACUUGUUUUUCAAUGCA